GGAACAAUAAGUCUUCGUUACGUUACUUAUGACCGCCGCCAUUUUUUUGUAGCACUGAUUCUGAUUGUGAUGUUGUUUAUUGAAAGCUGAUCAUGUGGCCUACAUUUUGCCAAGAUGUCGUCUCUUUUUCCUGUACGUACCGGCUGUACGUUUUGUAAGAAACACUUCAGAACAAAUCAGACAGUCUGGUAAAGUCUGAGCUUUGUCGUUGCUGCCCAAUUAUGGAUUUGGUGCAGCCAGCUGGUAAAGGGUGUUCCUCUUGCUACCUGUACUCUUGUGUGUUUCGUCAAAUGAAGAAACAUGAACAACUGAAGUUUAUCGUGUAUGUUCGCGUAGUUGCUGUCCGCUGUGGUACUUUGUUGCAGCCUAUGCUGGUGAUAGAUCUUUCUGCAUCAAAUUCAAUUGGCCGUGCUGUUGUCGUGUAACCGUUAAAUGUUAAGAAGGAAAAAAAAAUAUGGGGAUAGUUAUGUCUAGCAAGUAAUAAACAUGUUUUCGGGAUUGGGAAAGGAAAGUGGAAGAUGUUGGAGAGGGGGAUUCAAGUUUGGAUAAAAACAGUUAAUUUUAAGUUUUAACCCUACAAACAUAUCCCUACCAACUAAUCUCCAAACCCCACAAACUUAUACCUUCCAACUCUUCACACACAAACACACCUACCAACCCUAAAUUUAUAUCAUAUCCAAAUUAACCAAUGUUAAACCCUAACAAUGUGAUGUCUGUAAUAAAUAAAACUUUUUAUACAUAAAA
rnacentral:misc_RNA from 1 species